AUUGAACGCUGGCGGAAUGCUUUACACAUGCAAGUCGAACGGUAGAGGGGGCAACCCCUUGAGAGUGGCGAACGGGUGAGUAAUAUAUCGGAACGUGCCCAGUCGUGGGGGAUAACGUAGCGAAAGUUACGCUAAUACCGCAUACGAUCUAAGGAUGAAAGCGGGGGAUCGCAAGACCUCGCGCGAUUGGAGCGGCCGAUAUCAGAUUAGGUAGUUGGUGGGGUAAAGGCUCACCAAGCCAACGAUCUGUAGCUGGUCUGAGAGGACGACCAGCCACACUGGAACUGAGACACGGUCCAGACUCCUACGGGAGGCAGCAGUGGGGAAUUUUGGACAAUGGACGCAAGUCUGAUCCAGCCAUUCCGCGUGCAGGAUGAAGGCCCUCGGGUUGUAAACUGCUUUUGUACGGAACGAAAAGGUUUGUCUUAAUACGAUGAGCUCAUGACGGAACCGUAAG
rnacentral:rRNA from 1 species